ACCCCUUCAGUGGCUCGAAUACUUUUAAACUUGAACACACCUCUUAACUCGGCAAUGCAGAGACAAUAGGCUGCGUUCCACCAUCUUCUAAAAUUGGCUGACUUUGUCCAGGAUGCUCCUGCAUCACAAGAUGAACCUUCUUGAACCUUCUGCCUGAUUUUUAAUGCACUUUCCUCCAAUCUUCCCCAUGCGCCCUUACCAGAGGGCAGGACCUGGGGCGCAAUCGCACGGGCAGAACUGUCCGCUGAGAACCUAUGGUCCAUUGGAGCCACACGUCACCGCGGAGCAGGCUGGCUGGAGAGGAGUCAGGCCAAAAGGGGUCAUACUGGGAGAGCGGGGAUUGUCUGUGGAGCAGGAAAAGGCAACGAGUGUUGGGAGCGCAGGGGUCAAAGAGCAUCGGUGUCAAACAUGAACAGAAGCUGCUGUUUUGUGUCUGCUGCUCCAGGAACGGCGAUCUAGUUAAGGGGCCGGAUAUCCAGACUACGCCGCUGGAGAAAGGCAGGUCUGUAAUGUCUGAACUGAAGGAGCAGAACAGGGAUAAUGCAGCAAAGUGAGAUGACAACCCACCAAAGAACCCUGAAGAACGCCUAUGCAACGGGGAAGAUUUUUCAUCAAGGAUUUAUUUUUUUUAACAAAAGUAAAGCACAGCAGAAGGGACGUCCACCCAGACUGGAGAGAUGGCCUGUGAAGUCCUCGAUUUGAGGUUUGCAGUGCCACGUGGUUUGUUGUCUUCUUCAUGUGUGUUCCCCAGAAGAACAUAGAGUGCUAACGUUCCUGUUUUCUAAAAUGUUUGUGUUUCAAAGACGAAGGGUUCUCUGUCAGCUCCGUCUUGGCUUCUGAUGAUUCAUGCCACUCGCAAAGACAUCCCGUGCAUAUUCCUGGUAAAGUACCUGGCAGAAGACCUUGUAGGAGUUUCUGGUUAGAAUGCAAUCAAAUUCCUAAAAGGAAGCAGAGCAAAAUAUCCAGAUGUCUGUUCUGACUCCGUUUCUUUGUAAGUCACUAAGAAAGACCCUAGUCUGUCCAGUGAGAAAUGUUUUCAGGGCUUCAAGGUCCUUGUUCUCACCAGAGUUAAAGACAUAGAAAGCAGCAAGGAACUCUUGGAUGUUUCUUCCUCGAAGAUCUCGGUGCAUUUGUUACAGGUCCCAGAGGCCAGGACUGUUCCACGUUUAAAAGUGUGUGGGUGGAAUGACCUGCUGGUGCUUCUGUUUUCACAGAAAAAAAACCAAGAGACAAAAGACAUCAGUGCUGCUCACUCGCUCAGGCAUUCCUCUAUUUAAGAAAACUUUGUGAGAGUCGCCACUUACGCUUCCUACUGGUUGUUUCCCCUGGUGGCAAAACAUGGCUCUACACCCGCUUUGCUAAUACAGACACAAUUCAUUUAAACCAUAAUUAAAACGCACACCCAAACAUUACACCUCACUAACCGACCACAGUAUGUCAGAACUGUGUGUCAGACACGGUUGUCUGCAGUACGGGGGCCCCGCAGGGAACGGUUCUGGCGCCGUUCCUCUUCACAAUCUAUACUUCAGACUUCU
rnacentral:lncRNA from 1 species